rnacentral:tRNA from 1 species
GGGCCGGUAGUCUAGCUGGUUAGGAUACCGCCUCGACACGGCGGUGAUCGUGAGUUCGAAUCUCACUCGGCCCACCA